AUUGAACGCUGGCGGCAUGCCUUACACAUGCAAGUCGAACGGUAACAGGGAGCUUGCUCCGCUGACGAGUGGCGAACGGGUGAGUAAUGUAUCGGAACGUACCUUUUAGUGGGGGAUAGCGUAGCGAAAGUUACGCUAAUACCGCAUAUUCUCUGAGGAGGAAAGCAGGGGACCUUCGGGACUAGCGCUAAUAGAGCGGCUGAUAUCAGAUUAGCUAGUUGGUGAGGUAAAGGCUCACCAAGGCGACGAUCUGUAGCGGGUCUGAGAGGAUGAUCCGCCACACUGGAACUGAGACACGGUCCAGACUCCUACGGGAGGCAGCAGUGGGGAAUUUUGGACAAUGGGGGCAACCCUGAUCCAGCCAUGCCGCGUGAGUGAAGAAGGCCUUCGGGUUGUAAAGCUCUUUCGGCCGGGAAAAAAUCGCAUGGGUUAAUACCCUGUGUGGAUGAUGGUACCGGAAUAAGAAGCACCGGCUAACUACGUGCCAGCAGCCGCCGUAA
rnacentral:rRNA from 1 species